GACGAACGCUGGCGGCGUGCUUAACACAUGCAAGUCGAACGGAAAGGCCCUGCUUUUGUGGGGUGCUCGAGUGGCGAACGGGUGAGUAACACGUGAGUAACCUGCCCUUGACUUUGGGAUAACUUCAGGAAACUGGGGCUAAUACCGGAUAGGAGCUCCUGCUGCAUGGCGGGGGUUGGAAAGUUUCGGCGGUUGGGGAUGGACUCGCGGCUUACCAGCUUGUUGGUGGGGUAGUGGCUUACCAAGGCUUUGACGGGUAGCCGGCCUGAGAGGGUGACCGGCCACAUUGGGACUGAGAUACGGCCCAGACUCCUACGGGAGGCAGCAGUGGGGAAUAUUGCACAAUGGGCGGAAGCCUGAUGCAGCAACGCCGCGUGCGGGAUGACGGCCUUCGGGUUGUAAACCGCUUUCGCCUGUGACGAAGCGUGAGUGACGGUAAUGGGUAAAGAAGCACCGGCUAACUACGUG
rnacentral:rRNA from 1 species